GUAAUUAUUGUAUAUUCCUUUGGGGAGAGAUCGGUUUGGUUUUUGAUUUUUGGGCUAUCUCAGAAUUAUAUAAAUUUCAAGUUACCUACUUUCGUGACUUUUGAAUCUUUUAAUAUGGGGUGUAGGUUUCUGAUUUUAAAAUCUUUGAUCAUCUCUGUAGACAAAAGGUCGGAGGAGGAAUGGAAUGUUGGAGGUUUUGGGAGUUCUUGACUUUUUUUUUUGGCCAAUUUAUUGAUUUGUUAUUGUUGUUUGUUUGAUCAGGUAUGAGUAAUAAUGCUAGG
rnacentral:lncRNA from 1 species